ACAUUGGCUACACAUUGAUGUUUUGUCUUGGUCUGGGAAUACUUUGCGGUGCUAUUGGCUACCUAGGAUCAACUCUUUUCGUGAGGAGAAUCUACAGAAACAUCAAAUGUGAUUAAUUUCCUGCUACACAUGUGGGGUGGGGGUGGAGCAGUAUCAGAUCAAAUCAUAUACGUGGAAGCGAGGCCUUCAGAAUUGAUUAAUGCUAGUUCCUGAUUAGGGUUUCAGAACUACGUCACGUUUGCUUAUUCCAUCACACCCCUUCUUUUUGCAUACUUAUUUGUUCCCUGGAGCUGCUCUCAUAGUGUAUACAUCUAUGGUAGCUGAGUUCAGUACAAGUGGAUGGUGCAGGUUCUUAUUUUUCUUUGUUUCUUGCCUUUUUUUUGUUGCAUUCCUCCUUUUCAAAUGAGAAAGAAAUAGGAAGUGAGUAUCCAUGCGGCAAUGUCUGGACUUCCCCUCUGAAUCGUUACAUCCAAUUUAAGGAUGGCAUGUACUACGUGAGAUCUGUGUAUUUAUAUACAUAUAUCAACAUUUAAUGCAUGAGAGUGUAUAUGUGUGUCCUCUUA